rnacentral:rRNA from 1 species
GAUGAACGCUGGCGGCGUGCCUAAUACAUGCAAGUCGAGCGAACAGACGAGGAGCUUGCUCCUCUGACGUUAGCGGCGGACGGGUGAGUAACACGUGGAUAACCUACCUAUAAGACUGGGAUAACUUCGGGAAACCGGAGCUAAUACCGGAUAAUAUAUUGAACCGCAUGGUUCAAUAGUGAAAGACGGUUUUGCUGUCACUUAUAGAUGGAUCCGCGCCGCAUCAGCUAGUUGGUAAGGUAACGGCUUACCAAGGCGACGAUGCGUAGCCGACCUGAGAGGGUGAUCGGCCACACUGGAACGGAGACACGGUCCAGACUCCUACGGGAGGCAGCAGUAGGGAAUCUUCCGCAAUGGGCGAAAGCCUGACGGAGCAACGCCGCGUGAGUGAUGAAGGUCUUCGGAUCGUAAAACUCUGUUAUUAGGGAAGAACAAAUGUGUAAGUAACUAUGCACGUCUUGACGGUACCUAAUCAGAAAGCCACGGCUAACUACGUG